rnacentral:rRNA from 1 species
UCUGGGAUAAGCCUGGGAAACUGGGUCUAAUACCGGAUAGGAGCGUCCACCGCAUGGUGGGUGUUGGAAAGAUUUAUCGGUUUUGGAUGGACUCGCGGCCUAUCAGCUUGUUGGUGAGGUAAUGGCUCACCAAGGCGACGACGGGUAGCCGGCCUGAGAGGGUGACCGGCCACACUGGGACUGAGACACGGCCCAGACUCCUACGGGAGGCAGCAGUGGGGAAUAUUGCACAAUGGGCGCAAGCCUGAUGCAGCGACGCCGCGUGAGGGAUGACGGCCUUCGGGUUGUAAACCUCUUUCAGUAGGGAAGAAGCGAAAGUGACGGUACCUGCAGAAGAAUCACCGGCUAACUACGUGCCAGCAGCCGCGGUAAUACGUAGGGUGCGAGCGUUAUCCGGAAUUAUUGGGCGUAAAGAGCUCGUAGGCGGUUUGUCGCGUCUGUCGUGAAAGUCCGGGGCUUAACCCCGGAUCUGCGGUGGGUACGGGCAGACUAGAGUGC